GAGUUUGAAUUUGGUGACUUUUAGCUUAUAUUUUAGCACCAUUUCGUGUAUAUGGUGUAUGCCUAUAAAUAUUGGAUCCAUAUUGAAGGCUAAAAACAUUAAGACAACAUUAGAGAUUCCAUAUUACCCCACAAUCAAAGAUCAAAAUUUGAUCAUUCAUAUUCAUAUUCAUAUUCAACCCUUGUGUUCUUCAAGUUUUCAAGAAUUUUUCACUUGUGCUUUGUGAUUAAUUCUUGUUAAGGCUUGUUAAAAUCCUACAAACCAUUUGCCAUCAACCUUCAAAGCAUCUCAAAUCAAUAGAAGAAUGGACAAAUAUCGUUUGAGGACAACGAUAUCCUGUUCAAGCCAUUGUUGGUACAAGAUCGUGAUUAUCUUGUUCUUGGCAUUUUCGGUUCAUGUUUCGUGAUUUGUACUCCUACCCGGUAAAAAUUUAGACAACAAUCUCAAACUAUAUUUCUGCGAUGGAGAGCGAGACAACGAUGACAACAAUCAAACUCAUGAAUCAAGACUCGAUGCGGUUAGAUCAGUUCCAUGGAACAAAAUACACUCGACGGAAAGACAAAUUGAAGUUUCUUCUCACUGUAUUGAAGAUCUUCUACAUCCUAGAUUCGAAUCUUGCACCAAUACUGGAACCAACAAAUGGAGAAAUCGAAGCGGUGAGAAAUGAAAGACAAAAGUGCCAAGAAGAUGAGUUAAUAUGUCGCGGUCACAUUCUCAAUGCAUUAUCGGAUCGUUUAUAUGACUUAUAUACAAACACAACUUCGGCAAAUAAAAUUUGGGAUGCGCUCGAAAGUAAGUACAAAGUGAAAGAAGAAGGUACAAAGAAAUUUUUAAUUUCUAAAUACUUCGAUUUUAAAUUUUUAGAGAAUAUUCUCCUUCUUCCCCAAAUACAUGAAAUACAAGUAAUUGUCAAUAAGUUGAAGGCGGUGAAACUUGAAAUACCGAACCUUUCAAGUGGGGGCUAUAAUUGCCAAACUUUUCGGAACUUGGAAAGGAUACCAGAAGAAGAUAAUGCAUAGUUCCGAAGAUUAUUCUUUGGAACAACUGCAAAAAAAUCUUCGGAUUGAGGAAGAGUCGAGAAUGCGUGAUAAAAGUGAUUCUCAUAAGGACACUUCCAAAGUAAAUGUUGUAGAAAAAUUCAAACCGCUAAUAAAAUCCAAUAAAAGGAAGCCUUCGAGAAACCUUAAUAAGUUCAAAAAGAAGACCAAAGGAGGAUGCUUUGUUUGAGGGAAAUCUAGAUACUACGCAAAAGAUUGUAGACUCCGAAAACACAACAACUCCGAGGGUAGAGCGAAUUCCAUCCAAUAAAACAAGAUUGUGAUUACCGUGAGCGAAAUAAAUGCAAUUAAGGGAAAUGUUUCUGGCUGGUGGUAUGAUACUUGUGCCACGGUAUAUGUAUCAUAUGACAAAUCUUUGUUCCAAACGUACAAUAAAGUGGAUGGAGACCAAGAGAUCCAAAUGGGUAAUGAGGUGCGGUCCAAAGUAAUUGGAAAAUGAAGUGUAGAAAUUAUCUUCAUUUCUGGAAAAAAUGUUACUCUCACAAAUGUACUACAUGUUCCGAUUAUGAAUAGGAACUUAGUUAGUAGAAAUCUUUUGGAAAAAUCGAGCAUUAAAAGUGUCUUUGAGUCCGAUAAACUUGUUUUAUCACUUAAUGGAGAAUUUGUUGAAAAUGGCUAUUCAUGUGAAGGAAUGGUCAAACUUUGUACUGUUGACAAUAAAAUAAAUAAAGUUGAUUUUGCUUACAUGAUUGAUUUAUUUUCUUUAUGGUAUGCUAGAUUAGGUCACAUAGGUCAAAGUACCAUGAAACGUAUGAGAAAUUGUGACUUAAUUUCAUAUGAUGGAAAUGAUGUCAUUAAAUGCAAAAUAUGUGUAGAAGCAAAAAUGGUUAAAAAGCCUUGUCAAAGCGUUAAGAGGACUUCUAGCAUAUUAGAAUUAAUUCAUUCCAAUAUAUGUGAAUUAAAUGAGAUGCUAACAAGAGGUGGAAAUAGAUAUUUCAUAACAUUUAUUGAUGAUUGCUCAAGAUAUACCUAUAUUUAUUUGAUGAAACAUAAACACGAGGCCUUUGAUUUGUUUAAGACUUAUAAGAAUUAAGUUAAAAAUCAUUUAAAUAAGAAAAUAAAGACCUUAAGAAGUGAUAGAGGUGGUUAAUACUUUUCUAGUAAAUUUAAUUUAUAUUGUGAACAACAUGACAUAAUUCACCAAUGUUCUGCACCUAGGACGCUCAAACAAAACGAUUUGGCUGAAAGGAAGAAUAGAACCUUAGUAGAAAUUAUUAAUGUCAUGCUUAUAUAUGCUAAGUUGCCAUUUAAUUUAUGGGGUGAAGUUUUAUUAAGUGCAUGUAGGAUACUUAAUAGGAUUUCUUCUAAAUAUACAAAUGUUUCUCCUUAUGAAUUGUGGAAAGGAAGAAAACCGAACAUUGGAUACUUCAAAGUGUGGGGUGUCUCGCUUAUUGCAAGAACACAAAUCCUAAUAGGACCAAACUGGGUCCAAGAGGCAUUAAAUGUGCUUUUGUUGGAUAUGCUAAUAAUAACAAAUCUUAUAGAUUGCUAAACUUGGAGACCAAUAUGAUUAUCGAAUCAAGUGAUGUAGAGUUCUUUGAAAAUUUGUUAUCAUCGGAUAAUGAAUUGAAGGAAAAUAUUGAAAAUAUCCCUAGCUUAAGUGGAACACUUGAUGAAAUAUCUUCUAAAGAUGUUGAUGAGUCUAGUGAACCACGAAGAACCAAGAGAACUCGAGUUGAGAAGUCUUUUGGACCGGAUGAAAUUGAUUCUCAACUUAUCUCCUUUUACUUAGUAGAAGGAAAUGAGUUGAAUAUUGUAAGAACAAUUCCUUUUGUUCAACAAGUGGAAACCAACCCUAAAACUUAUAAAGAAGCUAUGACUUCUUGUCAUAGCAUUUUUUGGAAAGUAAUUAAAGAUGAAAUGGAUUCGAUAAUGUCUAAUAAAACUUGGGAAACUUGUCGAUCUACCACCGGGAUCCAAACCUAUUGGAUGUAAAUGUGUAUUUGAGAGGAAAUAUAAUGUCGAUGACUCUCUAAAUACUUUCAAAACUAGAUUAGUAUCUAAAAGAUAUCGACAAAAUGAAGGAUUCGACUAUUUUGACACUUAUGCACCGGUAGCCAGAAUAACAUUGAUUAUGAUAUUAUUUAAUUGGCUUCAAUAUAUGACCUAUAUGUUCAUCAAAUGGAUGUCAAGAUAGCAUUCUUAAAUGGGGAUCUCGAUGAAGAGGUCCAUAUGGAGCAACCGAAGGGUUUAUUCUACCUGAAAAUGAACAUAAGGUAUGCAAGUUAAUAAAAUCUUUAUAUGGUUUGAAGCAGGCGCCUAAGAAAUUGCAUGAAAAGUUUGACUUAGCUAUAACAUCAUUCGGAUCUAAACAUAAUAGCGUAGAUAGAUGUUUAUAUUCUAAAGUGUAUGAUGAUUAUGUGACAUUUAUAUGUUUAGAUGUUGACGACAUGUUGAUUAUGAGUAAUCACAUUGAUGGUAUAGAAGAAACAAAGAUGUUUCUAUCUUCCACAUUCAAAAUGAAGGAUUUUGGUCAAGUGGAUACCAUUUUAGGUAUCAAAAUCACUGCUAGGGAUUAUCACCUAAGUCAAUCAUAUUAUAUUGAAAAUGUGAUAAACAAGUUCAAACACUUGAACAUAAAAGAAUAUAGUACACCGAUUAAUCCAAGUUCAAAACUUGUAAAGAAUGAUGAAAGGGCGAUUGCUCAAUUGGAAUAUGCUAGUGCAAUAAGAAGUCUUAUGUAUGUAGUUCAAUGCACAAGACUGGACAUAGCCUAUGCCAUAAGUAAACUUAGCAGGUUUACUAGCAAUUCGAGUAAUAAUUAUUGGAAGGCCAUUGGAAAAGUUCUUGGAUACUUAAAGAAAACUAAAAACCUGGGCAUACAAUAUACUAAAUUCCCGACGGUAUUGGAAGGAUUUACCGAUGCUAGUUGGAUAUCUAGCGCGGGCGAGAGUAAAUCCACUUCGGGUUGUGUGUUCACUCUUGGAGGAUAUGUUGUUUCUUGAAAAUCAAAGAAACAAAUAUGCAUAACACACUCGACCAUAGAAUUUGAAUUUGUAGCCUUAUCGAAUGCCGGGAAAGAGGCCGAGUGGCUUAAGGAUCUCCUUUAUGAGAUACCUUUGGAAUCGAAGAAUAUUUUUUCAAUACCUAUCAUGUGUGAUAGUCAAACCACAUUAGCAAAAGCAUAUAAUGAGGUAUACAACGGAAAGUCUAGAUACAUGAGUCUUAGACAUGACUAUAUAAGGAAGUUAAUCAAGGAUGGAAUAAUUUUCCUAAAUUAUGUAAGGUCAAUUGAGAAUUUGACAGAUCCUUUGACUAAACCUUUAAAUAGAGAUUUAGCACCUGUUUGAUCCCCAUUAAAUUAAAUUACAUUGCAUUAUAUUUUUCUCUCUCAUAUUUUCAAUCACACAAUCUUCCAUAAAAUAAUAUAACACGUAAAUCGAAAACUUUUCAUUCUUUUUCAACCACUCAUUUUUCUAAAAAUACUAUUCCCCUCAUUUUCAUUUUCAGGUAAUGGGGAUCAAACAGGGGCUUAGUAGUAUCUACUUCGAGUAUGAUGGGGUUGAAACUCUUUAACUAAAAAGUUUCACCAAUGACAGCAACUCUACCUGUCAUUACUCAAAAGGUAAUUUACAGGUUCAUAAGUUAACAACAAGUCAUUCGAUAUGUGGAUAGUUGCAGCAUUAUUAAAAAUCCACAAUAAUCCUAUCCUAAUUAAAAUAAUGAUGGUUGUUACUGAAAUGAAGGAUGAGCUUUAAGCUCUUAAUGAAGUUCAGUGCUAAAACAUAAGUACAUCUAAAAGUAAUAAAAGUACUGGAAGAACUUUACCUAAACAAUCUUCAAGGUGGUAUCGCCUUAAUAGAGAAUUGAAGUUUCUCUCUUAAAAGAUUGUCAAAAAGGAUAAGCGCAAGACCAUAAAAGCGCUAAACUAGUUAUGAGGAACUUGAGAACACGUGGUACUCAUGUGUGUGUGUUCUUAUCGGUAUUGUCAUAUGGAAUAACUGGUUCAAAGCUACACGCUACCUUUGAUUUCGAUUAUACUUUGUUUGAAUUACACUAUGGUUAGAUUUAAAUCGAAAGAUAUCUAAUCCUUAUGAUGAGGAUCGUAUAUCAUGAAUAUGAGACUUGUUAAUUUUGAACAAGUGAGGAAUUGUUGUGAUUAUGUUGUUAAAAACCAACAACAAUAAAAAAUAAAAAAAGUGGUUCAUGCGACCGCAUGGCUUUACAUGGCAUAAAGCCAUGCGGUCGCAUGGCCAUAUGCCGAGAGCAUUUGGUCUCGGCAUGGGUGAACCAUGCGAUCGCAUGGUUUUGUACCAUGCAAUCGCAUGGUACAAUUUCUUGACUGUUGGAGGUCGGUUUUUGGCUAUUACAAGUUUGAAUUUGGUGACUUUUAGCUUAUAUUUUAGCACCAUUUCGUGUAUGUGAUAUAUGCCUAUAAAUAUUGGAUCCAUGUUGAAGGCUAAAAACAUCAAGAAAAUAUUAGAGAUUCUAUAUUAUCCCAAUCAAAUAUCAAAAUUUGAUCAUUUAUAUUCAUAUUCAACCCUUGUGUUAUUCAAGUUUUCAAGAAUUUUUCACUUUUGCUUUGGUGAUUAAUUCUUGUUAAUGCUUGUUAAAAUCUUACAAACCAUUUGCCAUCAACCUUUGAAGCAUCUCAAAUCAAUAGGAGAAGGGGCAAAUAUCGUUUGAGGACAACGAUAUCGUGUUCAAGCCAUUCGUUAAUACAAGUUCGUGAUUAUCUUGUUCUUGGCGUUGCCAGUUCAUGUUUCGUGAUUUCUACUCCAACCCGGUAAAAAUUUAGACAACAAUCUACCUUACCAAACAUGCCACAAGUUUGUUGCUGAUCUUUGGUUGCAAAAUGUCUUUU
rnacentral:lncRNA from 1 species